UUGCAUAUCCAAAAGCGGAGGAAAAGAAACCAACAGGGCAUGCCUCAGUAACGGCGAGUGAAGCGGCAACAGCUCAAAUUUGAAAUCUGGCCGCAAGGUCCGAGUUGUAAUUUGCAGAGGAUGCUUUUGGCGAGGUGCCUUCCGAGUUCCCUGGAACGGGACGCCAUAGAGGGUGAGAGCCCCGUACGGUAGGACCACCGAGCCUCUGUAAAGCUCCUUCGACGAGUCGAGUAGUUUGGGAAUGCUGCUCUAAAUGGGAGGUGUACGUCUUCUAAAGCUAAAUACCGGCCAGAGACCGAUAGCGCACAAGUAGAGUGAUCGAAAGAUGAAAAGCACUUUGAAAAGAGGGUUAAAAAGUACGUGAAAUUGUUGAAAGGGAAGCAUUCAUGACCAGACUUGGGCUUGGUUGAACAUCCGGCGUUCUCGCCGGUGCACUCUGCCAGUCCAGGCCAGCAUCAGUUUGCCCCGGGGGAUAAAGGCGGUGGGAAUGUGGCACCCUUCGGGGUGUGUUAUAGCCCGCCGUGUAAUGCCCUGGGGCGGACUGAGGAACGCGCUUCGGCACGGAUGCUGGCGUAAUGGUCAUCAAUGACCCGUCUUGAACACGGACCA
rnacentral:rRNA from 1 species